rnacentral:rRNA from 1 species
AACGUAGGAGACAAACGUUAUCCGGAGUUACUGGGCGUAAAGGGCGUGUAGGUGGUUUCGUAAGUCUGGCGUGAAAUAUCUCGGCUUAACCGAGGCAGGUCGUCGGAUACUGCAAGACUCGAGGACGGUAGAGGCGUGUGGAAUUCCGGGUGUAGUGGUGAAAUGCGUAGAGAUCCGGAGGAACACCAGUGGCGAAGGCGACACGCUGGGCCGUACCUGACACUGAUGCGCGACAGCAUGGGGAGCAAACAGG